rnacentral:tRNA from 1 species
AUUCAUAUAGCUUAUAUUUAGAGUAUAAUAUUGAAGAUAUUAAGGAAAAAUUUUAUUUUAUGAAUA